UGGGGAAUAUUGGACAAUGGGGGCAACCCUGAUCCAGCCAUGCCGCGUGUGUGAAGAAGGCCCUAGGGUUGUAAAGCACUUUCAGUGGGGAGAAAGGUGGCUUACCUAAUACGUGAGUCAAUUGAUGUUACCCACAGAAGAAGCACCGGCUAACUCCGUGCCAGCAGCCGCGGUAAUACGGAGGGUGCAAGCGUUAAUCGGAAUUACUGGGCGUAAAGCGCACGUAGGCGGUUUGGUAAGCUAGCCGUGAAAGCCCCGGGCUUAACCUGGGAAUUGCGGUUAGAACUGCCAAGCUAGAGUAUGGUAGAGGGGUGUGGAAUUUCAGGUGUAGCGGUGAAAUGCGUAGAUAUCUGAAGGAACACCAGUGGCGAAGGCGACACCCUGGACCAAUACUGACGCUGAGGUGCGAAAGCGUGGGGAGCAAAACA
rnacentral:rRNA from 1 species